CCUGGCGGCUAUAGCGGUUUGGCACCACCUGAUCCCAUCUCGAACUCAGCAGUGAAACGAACUUGCGCCAAUGAUAGUGUGAGGUCUCCUCAUGUGAAAGUAGGUCACUGUCAGGG
rnacentral:rRNA from 1 species